CAGCCGCCGCGGUAAUACGUAGGUGGCAAGCGUUGUCCGGAAUUAUUGGGCGUAAAGGGCUCGCAGGCGGUUUCUUAAGUCUGAUGUGAAAGCCCCCGGCUCAACCGGGGAGGGUCAUUGGAAACUGGGAAACUUGAGUGCAGAAGAGGAGAGUGGAAUUCCACGUGUAGCGGUGAAAUGCGUAGAGAUGUGAAGGAACACCAGUGGCGAAGGCGACUCUCUGGUCUGUAACCGACGCUGAGGAGCGAAAGCGUGGGGAGCGAACAGGAUUAGAUACCCGCGUAGUCCCUGUCUCUUAUAC
rnacentral:rRNA from 1 species